rnacentral:rRNA from 1 species
ACUCAAAUGAAUAGACGGGGACCCGCACAAGCGGUGGAGCGUGUGGUUUAAUUCGACGAUAAGCGAAGAACCUUACCAGGGCUUGACAUCCCGGGAACCCCGUGGAAACACGGGGGUGCCGCGAGGAGCCCGGUGACAGGUGCUGCAUGGUCGUCGUCAGCUCGUGUCGUGAGAUGUUGGGUUAAGUCCCGCAACGAGCGCAACCCUUGUCGUGUGUUGGAUUUGUCACACGAGACUGCCUCGGUCAACGAGGAGGAAGGUGGGGAUGACGUCAGAUCAGCAUGGCCCUUACGCCCUGGGCGACACACGCGCUACAAUGGCCGGUACAAUGGGCUGCGAAAGAGCAAUCCGGAGCUAAUCCCAUCAAAGCCGGUCUCAGUUCGGAUUGGAGGCUGCAACUCGCCUCCAUGAAGCCGGAAUCGCUAGUAAACGCGGAUCAGCCAUGCCGCGUUGAAUACGUUCUCGGGUCUUGUACACACCGCCCGU